rnacentral:rRNA from 1 species
AUUGAACGCUGGCGGCACGCCUAACACAUGCAAGUCGAGCGGUAACAUGGUUAGUAGCAAUACUAGUUGAUGACGAGCGGCGGACGGGUGAGUAAAACGUAGGAACCUGCCCUUAAGCGGGGGAUAACUAAGGGAAACUUUAGCUAAUACCGCAUACACUCGAGAGAGGAAAGCUGCCGCGAGGUGGCACUUGAGGAGGGGCCUGCGUCAGAUUAGCUAGUUGGUAGGGUAAGAGCCUGCCAAGGCAAUGAUCUGUAACUGGUCUGAGAGGACGACCAGUCACACUGGGACUGAGACACGGCCCAGACUCCUACGGGAGGCAGCAGUGGGGAAUAUUGGACAAUGGGGGCAACCCUGAUCCAGCGAUGCCGCGUGGGUGAAGAAGGCCUUCGGGUUGUAAAGCCCUUUAGGUCGGGACGAAGUAGUUUAGGUUAAUACCCUAGAAUAUUGACGGUACCGACAGAAUAAGCACCGGCAAACUCUGUGCCAGCCGCCGCGGUAA